rnacentral:rRNA from 1 species
UACAGAGGUCUCAAGCGUUGUCCGGAAUCAUUGGGCGUAAAGCGCGUGUAGGCGGCCCGGUAAGUCCGCUGUGAAAGUCCAGGGCUCAACCCUGGAAUGCCGGUGGAUACUGCCGGGCUAGAGUCCGGAAGAGGCGAGUGGAAUUCCGGGUGUAGCGGUGAAAUGCGUAGAUAUCUGGAGGAACACCGGUGGCGAAGGCGGCAUUUUGGACCACAACUGACACUGAGAGACGAAAGCCAGGGGAGCAAACGGG